CGGGAAUUCGAGCAAAUUCCCUUAAACUGGAGCCUUAAACUUACCUUAAACUGAACCAGUUUAAGGGAAAUUUUAGUACAAUUUCAUGAAAACCAACCACUGUGCUUUGCUCUCUCCUGUCAUUUCCAAUUGUCAUCAUCGAAACGUCAAAUGAAAAAACAAAACAAAACCAAAUUGUUCGGUGAUGCUUCAUAAGCUGAAAUCUAAAAUUUGUUUUAUUAUUUCUGUCGGAUUUUCUGCAAAACAUAAAAAGGAUACGUUUAGCGAAAUGGCUUCAAACAACGUGUAUAAAACGAUAACGGCACCGAUGGCAUCAUUUCCAGAUCUCAGCGUAAAAGCGCAGGCAUCGGUAGUACCAGCGACCCUCGUACCAUUAAAGACAUCCAUAUCUACAUCACCAUUAUUCCUUCCUGAAAAUGUACAACAAACCAAUAACCCGGUGAUUAUCAAAACCGAACAAAUGUGCCGGCCAGUACUUACCGUGAAUGCCCCUGUGAAGCUCGUGCAAUGGUCAAAAAAAAUCAUCCUACGUCCUUUCGGCAUCUCCAUUAUCGGCUCCUGGCACUGUGAAUCAAAACAACAAGCCAGUGGUUAUAAAAUCGGGACAAAUGGGCCGACCACUCCUCACCGUGAAUGCCCCUGUGAACCUGGUUCAAUCGUCAGCCAUCGCAUCCUCGCCCCGCGUCCUUUCGGCAUCACCGUCAUCAGCUCCUUGCACUGCGAAACAGGCAAAUAGACCAGUGAUUAUUAAAUCUGAACGAAUUUGCCGACCAGUCCUUCACGUGAAUGCCCCAGCGAAGCUCGUGCAAUCAUUUCAUUUCAUUUCAUUUAUUUCAUACAAUAUCCGCCAUCAAGGCUAAAUAUAAUAGACUUAAAACUAAUUUAAUACUAACAAAUAAACAAAAUAAUUCAUGAAAAACUAA